rnacentral:rRNA from 1 species
GGCUGGACGUACGCCGGAAAACCCUGGAGCCAGGGUCCCCCUUGGGGUCGGUGUACAGGUGGUGCAUGGCGGUGGUCAGCUGGUGUCGUGAGAUGUUGGGUGAAGUCCCGGAACGAGGGCGACCCUUGUCCCCAGUCGCCAGCAGGCCCUUGUGGUGUUGGGGACUCACGGGAGACCGCCGGGGUGAACUCGGAGGAAGGUGGGGACGACGUCAAGUCAUCAUGCCCCUUAUGUCUUGGGCUGCACACGUGCUACAAUGGCCGGUACAAUGAGCUGGGAUACCGCGAGGGGAGCGAAUCUCAAAAAGCCGGUCUCAGUUCGGAUUGGGGUCCGCAACUCGACCCCAUGAAGUGGGAGUGGCUAGUAAUCGCAGAUCAGCAUUGCAUGCGGUGAAUACGUUCCCGGGCCUUGUACACACCGCCCGUCAGGUCACGAAAGUCGGUAACACCCGAAGCCGGUGGCCCAACCCCUUGUGGGAGGGAGCUGUCGAAGGUGGGACUGGCGAUGGGAGGAAGUCGAAUCAAGGAUGC